rnacentral:piRNA from 1 species
UGGUGUGCCAGGGAUUGAACCGA